UACUUAGUGGCAGACGGGUGAGUAACAUGUGGGUAUCUACCCUUUGGCCUGGAAUAACACGAGGAAACUUGUGCUAAUACCGGAUAAGUCUUUACGGAGAAAGCUUUAUGCACCAUUGGAUGAGCCCGCACUUGAUUAGUUUGUUGGUAGGGUAAUGGCCUACCAAGACUAUGAUCAAUAGCUGAUUUGAGAGGAUGAUCAGCCACAUUGGGACUGAGACACGGCCCAAACUCCUACGGGAGGCAGCAGUGGGGAAUCUUGCACAAUGGAGGAAACUCUGAUGCAGCGAUGCCGCGUGAGUGAAGAAGGCCUUUGGGUUGUAAAGCUCUUUCGUCGGGGAAGAAAAUGACUGUACCCGAAUAAGAAGGUCCGGCUAACUUCGUGCCAGCAGCCGCGGUAAUACGAAGGGACCUAGCGUAGUUCGGAAUUACUGGGCUUAAAGAGUUCGUAGGUGGUUGAAAAAGUUGGUGGUGAAAUCCCAGAGCUUAACUCUGGAACUGCCAUCAAAACUUUUCAGCUAGAGUAUGAUAGAGGAAAGCAGAAUUUCUAGUGUAGAGGUGAA
rnacentral:rRNA from 1 species